GACAGAGGUGCCGAGCGUUAGGCGGAAUCACUGGGCUUAAAGCGUGUGUAGGCGGGCGAUCAAGUACCUUGUGAAAUCCCACGGCUCAACCGUGGAACCGCUGGGUAUACUGGUUGUCUUGAGCCGGCUAGGGGCGAGCGGAACAGACGGUGGAGCGGUGAAAUGCGUAGAUAUCGUCUGGAACGCCGAAGGUGAAAACAGUCUGCUGGGGGCGCACCGACGCUGAGACACGAAAGCCAGGGGAGCGAACGGG
rnacentral:rRNA from 1 species